CAGGGCUGAAACCAUCCCGGUUGCUACGUGACUUCGCGUGGCUCCCAGUCUGUGACGCUGGGACCGUGCAACCGGGCCAGUGGCUGCUCGCUUUUGAGAGCAGAUUUGACCAUGUAGUUGCGGUGACUGUUUCGGCGUGAAUCAUUCCGAAGCCAGAAUAGUGAGUUUAUUUGACGUUUGCCUAACGACGUUUUGACUUGUUUCGUGUUGAGUUACUUUAUCACCGUGCUGGACAGAUCUACAAUUGAAGCGUCAAUGGUACCUUCCGUAUUAAAGUACUCCGAUGUUUCACUUCAGAGCUAGUUCAUGAGCUCGUGCCGCUGAAGGACUCGGCCUAUGGCUCUGUGUUAUUAGACCCCCCAAAUUAAGUAACCGUUUGUGAACACAGCCCGGUGCUCUAAGUUUGGUCCCGCUGUUCUUCCUGCUGUCUCUAUUAUGUAACCAAGUUCUUUAUUGGAGUCGCACUAAAGUAAGCCUCACCUUGGAGCUGUGCGUGUGUGUGUGUGUGUGUGUGUGUGUGUGUGUGUGUAGCAAUAUGUAUGAUGAGAUGGAAAGUGCUAAGGAGUUAAUGAUAGGGAGAUAUUUCAAUAAUUAUUCCAAAACAUAUGUUCUGCAUUAAUUAUCGCUAUGGUUACAGUUGGGUUUGAAUUGACUUGUAUCCUCCUGGCCUGGAAGAAUGAACCAGGGGGGAUGAUAUAGGGCAUACUUCGAGUGGCUGUUGCCGUCUGAGGUUUGUUAAUGAG
ensembl:lncRNA